rnacentral:tRNA from 3 species
GCCCCCUUGGCGGAAUGGUAGACGCAGAGGACUUAAAAUCCUUUGCCGUAAGGCGUCCCGGUUCGAGUCCGGGAGGGGGCACCA